rnacentral:snRNA from 1 species
AAUUGUGAGAAUGAUCUGGCUGGGACACCUGCCAGCUCUUUGAUUUCCAGGGUUGAUUUGCCAGAUCUGGCUAGCUAGCCAUGUGUCUCCUUCCUCCCUCAAUACUCCAAUCAUGUGUAUCCUUUUCAAAGCUGAACAUUCUAUUGAAGAGGACAACCUUGCCCAAAUAGAAGAGGAACAAAUCUCUAGUCAAAAGUACAUGAGAAGCUUCAAUCCUCUGCUAGAAUCUUCAAACAAAUGAUCAUAAUAUUUUAAACACUCAAAAGACCUAAGAGUUUUCACAAAUGUAUAUAUCAAAUAUAUAUUUCAGUUACUAU